rnacentral:rRNA from 1 species
AGCUUACCGUCGCCCGAACCAACAGWGGGARCUUCGUGGUUCUGUCUAUCGGGGAAUCCCAGAUGGGAUUAGCUAGUAUCCGCGGKAAUGGCGCACCUAGGCGACGAUCCCUAGCUGGGCUGAGAGGAUGACCAGCCACACUGGAACUGAGACACGSUCCARACUCAUACGGGAGGCAGC